CUCACACCAGUGUCCUGCUCUGGAAGUGUCAAACUAAAAACUUUUUAUUUAUUUAUAUAUUUCUUUAGCAAUGGGACAUCCAGAAAUUUAAACAUUGUUUGCAUGCUUCAUUUUCUAUGUAAAAUGGAGGAUAUAACUCAAGAUAAAAUUAUUUAAAAACAAAAAUUUUAUGUUUCUUCUGCGAAAAAGUAAAAAAUAAAAUAUUUUGUGUAACUUAUAAGAAUCAAGUUGUUGUAGUUCCAGUAAAUUUUUAGGAUAUUAUGUUUAUUUUAUACAAAGUUUAUCCGGAAAUGUGUUUUUUGUCAGCGAAAAGUCCUUUGAAAAUUUUCAAAUUCUGGCAUAUAAGUAACAGUGGAAGAAAAUUGUUGAGAUAGAGAGAACUUUUUAUCUUGGUUCAGUCAACUGUGUUAGCUUCACAAAAGAUGCCUGUGUGUUCUUGCUAGCUGUUUAGACAAUACUUUGCGACUUACAGAUAACGAAGGGUGAAGUGCGUUCUGAAAAUGCAAGAAGAAAUGGCCCCUGCCAUUAGUGGUUACCGAUUGAAGCAAACACAAAAAAGAAAAUUCCCUGCUUGGGUUACCAACAUAGUAGCUGGGAUUGAAAGAAGGCAUCGAGAGAAGAUAGAAAUUUGUAACAACACUUUGUAUCGAAAAUAAUUGAAAAAUGAUUUAACACCUUAUUUUAAAAUCUUGCUACAGACUUCUCUUCUUUCAACAAUUUCUGUGUUUAAAUGUUUUAUUAUUUGCUACCCCAUUUUUAAUUUGGUGCUUUCCAAAAACACUUUUUCAUCAAACUUCUUAAAAAAUUUAAUACAAAUAACUAACUUAUCCAAACAUAAGAUUUCUUUCUUCUAUAUGAGUCAUUCGAUUGCAAAACUUGUUUAAAUUAUAUUGAAUUUUUCUGCUAAAUUUUAUAUGUAGAAAAAAUUACAUUUUUUAAGUAAUUUAUCCAGCUGACUACUUGAAAUUUGUAUGAAAGUUUAUAAUAAAAGUUAAAAUUUCAUUUUGACGG